CCUCAAGGUACUUCUAAUUCAUAUGAGGCAAAAAGAUGCUGACAAAAUAAAUACACAAUGAUUAUAUUAAGUGAUAAGUAUUGUAAAGAAUAAGGCAGGGAAAGGAAUAGAAAGUGGUGGAGAGGACAGUGUUUUCUGUAUGUAGGCAGAGAUCUUUGCCCUGGUAAGGAAAAAGAGAAGGGACCUGAAUGAAUUAAGGAAGAAGCCAUGAAGCAAUAGUGGAAUUAAGCAUUCUGAGAAGAGGGAAGAACAGUGCAAAUGCUAUGUUUCAGGUGCAACCAAACAUUUCUGUAUCCUGAGCUCCACCUCUCUUCCUUAAAAUUUGCUGUUUUGUGCACUGGCGUAGAGAGUUAUAGUAUAAAGCCACAAUGACAAUGGAAGGUUACGGGACAAAGCCAGAAUGACAUAUAGAAUCAUCCAGAUGUGAACAAGUCUGCAGCACAUUUAAUACAUUUCCAUGAAGGAUCCUGGUGGGGUGCUGCUCAAGUUACCCACAGUGGAGAUCAGCUGGAGAAUCCAGCGGCCCAUUGCUUUGCCCUUCUCUGUUUCAUCUUACCCGUCUCCCACUUAACUGCUGCCUGA
rnacentral:lncRNA from 1 species